UGUGGCAUAGCUUAAUCGGUAAAGCGCGAGGCUCAUAACCUUGAAUGAUACAGGUUCGAUCCCUGUUGCCACAU
rnacentral:tRNA from 1 species